rnacentral:rRNA from 1 species
GAUGAACGCUGGCGGCGUGCCUAAUACAUGCAAGUCGAGCGAACGGAUAAGGAGCUUGCUCCUUUGACGUUAGCGGCGUACGGGUGAGUAACACGUGGGUAACCUACCUAUAAGACUGGGAUAACUUCGGGAAACCGGAGCUAAUACCGGAUAACAUUUGGAACCGCAUGGUUCUAAAGUGAAAGAUGGUUUUGCUAUCACUUAUAGAUGGACCCGCGCCGUAUUAGCUAGUUGGUAAGGUAACGGCUUACCAAGGCGACGAUACGUAGCCGACCUGAGAGGGUGAUCGGCCACACUGGAACUGAGACACGGUCCAGACUCCUACGGGAGGCAGCAGUAGGGAAUCUUCCGCAAUGGGCGAAAGCCUGACGGAGCAACGCCGCGUGAGUGAUGAAGGGUUUCGGCUCGUAAAACUCUGUUAUUAGGGAAGAAAAAAUGUGUAAGUAACUGUGCACGUAUUGACGGUACCUAAUCAGAAAGCCACGGCUAACUACGUG